CCCGGGUCCGCCCGGGGGGAAGGGGCCCGCACCAUGCCGCCGAGAAAAGCGCCUAAGCGUUGGAUUCCGUCCGGGUCCGUACCGCAAACCGACACAGGUGGACAGGUCGAACAGACCGAGGUGCUCGGGAGAAACCACGUUAAGGAACUCGGCAAACCAGCCCCGUAACUUCGGAAGAAGGGGCGCUCCCCCCGGUGCGGAGGACUUGCUUCUCCGCGCCCCGGGGAGCCGCAGUGAAGAGGCCCAGGCGACUGUUUAGCAAAAACACAGCACUCUGCCAAGCCGCAAGGCGACGUAUAGGGUGUGACACGUGACCAAUGCCGCAAGGUCAAUCGGAGGGGUCAGCCUUCAUGGCGAAGCCCGGAUGUGAAGCCCCGGUGAAUGUCGGCCGUAACUAUAACGGUCCUAAGGUAGCGAAAUUCCUUGUCGGGCAAGUUCCGACCUGCACGAAUCGUGUAACGAUCUGGGCGCUGUCUCAACGUGGAUCCCGGUGAAGUUGUAGCUCCGGUGAAAAUGCCGGAUGCCUGCGGAAGGACGGAAAGACCCCAUGAACCUUUACUGUUGCCUGGCAUUGGCGGCUGGGCGGCCAUGUGUAGCAUAGGUGGGAGGCAUCGAUGCCCCGGCGCCAGCCGGGGCGGAGCCUUCAGUGAAAUACCACCCUUGGCCGUCCGGUCUCCUAACCGCGCGCCGUGGAUCCGGCGCCGGGACCGCGCCAGGCGGUCAGUUUGACUGGGGCGGUUUCCUCCAAAAAGGUAACGGAGGAGUUCGAAGGUCGGCUCACCGCGUUUGGCAAGCGCGGGCGCGAGCGCAAGGGCACAAGCCGGCCUCACUGCAAGACCGACGGGUCGAGCAGCCGCGAAAGCGGGACCUAGUGAUCCAGCGGUGGAACGUGGCAUCGCCGUUGCUCAUCGGACAAAAGGUACUCUGGGGAUAACAGGCUGAUCGCGCCCAAGCGUCCACAGCGACGGCGCGGUUUGGCACCUCGAUGUCGGCUCAUCACAUCCUGGGGCUGAAGCAGGUCCCAAGGGUUCGGCUGUUCGCCGAUUAAAGUGUUACGCGAGCUGGGUUCAAAACGUCGUGAGACAGUUUGGUCCUUAUCCUCCGCAGGCGCAGGACGGUUGGCGGGAGCGCCCCCUAGUACGAGAGGACCGGGGGCGGGCGACCUCUGGUGUUCCGGUUGUCGAGCCAUCGGCACCGCCGGGUAGCCACGUCGCGAAGGGAUAAGCGCUGAAGGCAUCUAAGCGCCAAGCCCCCCCGGAGAUUAGCCGUCCCUGACGCAAGUCCUGAAGGGCCGCGGGAAGAACACCCGCUUGACAGGGCGGAUGCGCAAGCGCCGCGAGGCGUUCACCAUACCGCUUCUGAUAGGCC
rnacentral:rRNA from 1 species